GAUGAACGCUGGCGGCGUGCCUAAUACAUGCAAGUCGAGCGAACGGACGAUAAGCUUUCUUCCCUGAUGUUAGCGGCGGACGGGUGAGUAACACGUGGAUAACCUACCUAUAAGACUGGGAUAACUUCGGGAAACCGGAGCUAAUACCGCAGAAUAUUUUGAACCGCAUGGUUCAAAAGAGAAUGACGGUUUUGCUGUCACUUAUAGAUGGAUCCGCGCUGCAUUAGCUAGUUGGUAAGGUAACGGCUUACCAAGGCAACGAUGCGUAGCCGACCUGAGAGGAUGAUCGGCCACACUGGAACUGAGACACGGUCCAGACUCCUACGGGAGGCAGCAGUAGGGAAUCUUCGGCAAUGGGCGAAAGCCUGACGGAGCAACGCCGCGUGAGCGAUGAAGGUCUUCGGAUCGUAAAGCUCUGUUAUUAGGGAAGAACAGAUGUGUAAGUAAAUGUGCACGUCUUGACGGUACCUAAUCAGAAAGCCCCGGCUAACUACGUG
rnacentral:rRNA from 1 species